GUUUUCUCCCAGGGGCCGGCCUUUGCGUCCCCCUCGCUGCAGUCAGGCCCACCACGGCUGGGCUUUGGAGACCUAACGCAAAUCCUGCUCAUGAAAACUCCGAGGCUGCUCCUGUGGGAUCUACGGCGUCACCCAGGCUUAAACCCCGAGAUCCGCAGGUUCACACCUCCACGCGGGGAGCAGCGUCCGCAACCGUCAGCAGGAGGCAGUGCAGCCCAGUGGGCGGUGCCUGAGGCCCCAGGCAGGUCCUCCCUCCAGCGCCCCGCCUGCGGGAGGACUUUGAGCCCGGGCUGCGCAACAGGAAAGGGAGAUUUUUAAUGGUCUCAUCCCAAUUUAAACAUUUUAGCUGGGGGCGGGCAGCGUAAAAGGAACUGCGGCGGUACUUCCAGCUGCCGCACACAGCACCGAAAAGCAAAAGUAGGGGCGUGCUCGCUCCCCAAACCACGCGGCCCGAGACUACUCCGUCGGGCGACAGCACCAGCUCGAAGAGCUCUCGGAAAGAGAAAAGCUCAGAUGUUUUUUUUUAAUCCCAGGUGAAAGCCCGGGGCACUGGCUUUGAUUGAAGCGAGGUAGGUUCCUGUAGCCCGAGGCAGGGCCGCUUUCCUUUGUGGGCCAAGAAAGCAGUGGUGCUGACGGAGGGCAGAAAUGGUCUCCUCCCAAGGCAGCAGGUGUGGGGACAGCUCCGACCCCGCAGGGGCCACGGGAGAAGCCCACAACGCGUGGCUACUGCAGGUGCUCCGAGUUCCUAAGCACAGUGGGAGAUACUUCCAGCAAACAUCACCCUGCCCUAAGGGAGUUACCCACAAAGGGGAGACAUCGGAUCAACCCCAGGAACAGCAGGCUCUGCCCGGAGAGACGUCCGAGCCACGACCCUCUCUGUCCACCGAGGCAACGUGAGAUUCCCAAACGGCCCCACCCACAGCCAGGCCGGCUUGGGACGAGAAGGAAACCGAAGCAGCCUGCCCUGCCGAGCUGCGAUGUCUCACCACGUCCUCCCGCUGCCGUCACCCCGCCGGCCUGACACCCCUGGGCGCUGCGGCCCACUUGCCUGCAGUUACACCACGCCUCCUUUGCGGGGUCCCCUCCGGCUGCUCCCGACAAGCCUAACGCUGCAUCUAGUUUGAUCUCUGACUCAGCUCUGAUCCUCCCUACAAGGUGGCCUGGUGCCACCCACGCCCAGGGCGACAUAUGGUCCGUGCCACCCUAGGACCCAGAGGGACUGCAGAACAAGCCGGUGACAGCUGAUGGUAACCUGAUUAUUUCAUCUUUCCACUGAAGAGGCUUUUGCUUCAGGGAAAAUAACACACAAAUGCUGGAGAUGGGGUUGACCUCAAGGCGGGGAAUGGCUGGCUUAAUUUAGGGGCAGUUUCUGUUCCCUCCAUUGUUCAGUGAGCUACGGGAAUGGACCGGAUCUUUUCUUCUGUCUUGUCCGGCCACCUGCUUCGCUUCUCAGUUACUUGAAAGUGCUUUAUAGUGUCUUUGUCAGUAAGAUAAAAGAAACAUUAAAUUUUAAAAAUGUCCUAUGCUUUGUUUACUAUUAAUUUAUAUGGCAAAAAUAAGUAACAUUUUACUCUUUUUCUUAUUUUUUAAAAUUUUUUAUUUUUUGAGACAGGGUGUCACCAUAUACCCCAGGCUGGUCUUGAAGUCAAGGCGAUCCUCCUGCCUCAGCCUCCCAAGUGUUGGGAUUACAGGUGUGUACCACCAUGCCCAGUGUGUGACAUUUUAAUAAAACUGGAUUUGGAAAACUUCUUUUGUUUUGUUUUGUUUGAGACAGUCUUGCUAUGUAGUCCAGGCCGGCUUCGAACUCAGAGCAAUCCUCCUGCCUCAGCCUUCUAAGUGCUGGGAUUACAG
ensembl:lincRNA